CAGUCCGAGGGAUGAUGUACUACAGAAGGGCUUUGAAGCUUCAAGCUUUUCUUGACAUGGCUUCUGAAACAGGUAUG